rnacentral:rRNA from 1 species
AACGAACGCUGGCGGCAGGCCUAACACAUGCAAGUCGAACGCUCCGCAAGGGGAGUGGCGCACGGGUGAGUAACACGUGGGAACCUACCUUCUGGUACGGAACAACCAAGGGAAACUUUGGCUAAGACCGUAUACGACCUCCGGGUGAAAGAUUGAUCGCCGGAAGAGGGGCCCGCGUCCGAUUAGGUAGUUGGUGAGGUAACGGCUCACCAAGCCUUCGAUCGGUAGCUGGUCUGAGAGGAUGACCAGCCACACUGGGACUGAGACACGGCCCAGACUCCUACGGGAGGCAGCAGUGGGGAAUAUUGCGCAAUGGGCGAAAGCCUGACGCAGCGACGCCGCGUGGGUGAUGAAGGCCUUCGGUC